rnacentral:rRNA from 1 species
UACGUAGGAUGCAAGCGUUGUCCGGAAUUAUUGGGCGUAAAGAGCGCGCAGGCGGUUUGAGAAGUCAGAUGUGAAAGAGGCCGGCUUAACCGGCAAGGGUCAUUUGAAACUGACAGACUAGAGUACAGCAGAGGAUAGCGGAAUUCCUGGUGUAGCGGUGAAAUGCGCAGAUAUCAGGAGGAACACCAAUUGCGAAGGCAGCUCGCUGGGACGUUACUGACGCUGAGACGCGAAAGCGUGGGGAGCAAACAGG